rnacentral:tRNA from 3 species
GCGCCCGUGGCGGAAUUAGGCAGACGCGCUGGUCUUAGGAACCAGUCUUUCGGGGUGCAGGUUCGAGUCCUGUCGGGCGUAC